GGGGCUGUAGCUCAGCUGGAAGAGCGUCGCGUUCGCAAUGCGAAGGUCAGGGGUUCGAUCCCCCUCAGCUCCACCA
rnacentral:tRNA from 1 species